rnacentral:tRNA from 1 species
GGGGUUGUGGCUCAGUGGUAGAUCACUUGCCUAGUAAGUGUGAGGCAUUGGGUUCAGUCCUCAGCACCA